ensembl:lncRNA
CCCAAGUCUUCUUCUGCAUCCACACACUCCAGCAGGAACAUUUGCCAUUCCUGCCACUUUUGGCACAGUGAUGACAAGUGCAAUAUUAACGGCCCAGGCAGAAGAAGAAAUGGAAGGAGGAGUGGCAGCAGGAAUGGAAAGAUAAGCCAGGAGCAGAACACUGCAGGCAACUGAUAGCAGCAAUUCCCAGAUCAAGGCUCGCGGGUCUGAAGAUGGGGAGCAGCAAGGAUUUCCUGGAGAAAAACGCCUUGUGCCUCUGAAGUGGUCCGAAAUUUGUGAAAGGUGCUUUGAGACUACUAAAUAAAAACAUGUUGCCAAAGUUUUAUUCUCAUCCCUAUAGAAAACAAUGCUGUUUUAAACGGAACGUGUAUCUUAAUUUCAAAAAAUUAAAUUUCAAAUGUGAUUUUUGCUUGCCAAAUAAUAACAACUCAGCUACCAGUUAAGCUAACUACUGCCUAACUACUUAAAAGCAAGUAAUUUUAUUUCUGAGUGCCUAAAUCAUCCACAGCCUCCCCAUGCCUCCCCCUUAUCCAUAAAGGGAGGCAUACUUCAUUGCCACAAAACAAGCAGUUCUGACUCAUGAACUGCCUCGAGGUUUGCACGAGACUGCGGAUAACAUCCCUGGAAAUUUGACAAUUAUUUGCAGCCAUUUGCCAACACUGUUUUCAUCCAAGAGCCCAGAUCCCACCAUCAAGGGCAGCKCCAGCACAUGCACUGGCUGUUUGGUCAGAUGUCCAGUCUAUCCCACUCCCAGAGGACAGUGUCCACCAAAACAUUUCAUUACUGGGUCUGUGCUUCACCUCUAUCCUCUGGUACCUUCUCCUGUACCUUCUCAACAAAUUUCCUCUUUAAUCAAUAUCAGUAUUCUCAAAUGUUUAAAAAGAAAGUUACCAAAACAUGAAAUUAAUUCUGCUUGUGUAAAUACACAGUUUUCCCUUAAUUGACUCUUUAAAUGCACCUGUGUCGAGGCAGGCACCACAGUGAUGUAUCAGCUUGAAAGACUGAAAGGUCUGUUCCCCCCUCGAGGCGUCUGGGCUAACAUUUCAUAAAUUACAAUCAUGUUUUCCUUUUCUGUUAAUAUUUUCAUUCCAAAGGUCAUUUAAACACACAGACACAAAACAGAGGAAUGUGGUGGAAGCUGCUUGCUUCCAAAUCUUGGAAAUCAGAAUCACUCCACUAGCAAUAAGAAUAUCAAAUUUUACUAYGAAGAUAUAUCUAACUAGCAGCCAGUGCACUCACCUGGAAAAAGCUUCAGUCUUCAGAUAUGUGCAUGUAUGAACAUUGAGACCAUGGAAGUGGGUGCAAGUCACUGCUCUACAUGUUCAUUUGUCUACUGAAAACAGCAGAUCAUCUUUUUUGAGCAACUUGAGUUUGACGCCUUCACCCUUCACUAAGGCGAGUGACCUUCAAUGAGUGGUCUGCGAAAGCGAGCACCUGCAGCCACUGCGGCUCCUGCGGGUCACACAAGCCAUCUCUCCUCUCCCCUGGCAAGCAGAGAAGACUAGACGAAACAGUAGCCUCAGAGCAGGGCCAAAAGGAGGACCAAAAGUUAUGGAGAUCCUGAGUCUGCUCUACUGCCCCCAUGCAAACUGGUGUCUCCAACAAGGGCUGAUGGAUCUCAAGCCAGCAAAACCAGGCACUCCCUAAGUAGCAUCUGGAUGAAGAGAACAUUAUUUAUACACGCACAUCUGAAAGCUUUGGAUGAGGGAUCCAUGAAUGGUUAAUUCACUUUCUUAGAUAUGUAAGGAACAUAACGUUAUGUCUUCCUAUUAUCAUAUUAGGCUGAGAAGGUUUAUGUGCCCCAUCCUAGAGGGUGUCAGAGGCUUAAUGUUAAUUAAAUAGCAAAUUUAAGGUUAUUGCUCAUAAUCACAGCUGCGAUCUGAAUUAUUGCUUGAUGAUAUUCCACUUUUGCUCGCUUGCUGCUUUUGAUUGAUUAUUUGCAUUUGCUGCUUUAUAACGUGCRUGUAUCGCUUCCAACAGAGGCCUCUUUUUUGAUUCUAACCGCAUUACACUCCCCAGUCAGAUGAUGGAUUGGACUUUUGAGCGUACCAUAAACACCAGGCCAUUCUUGCUAGCAUGAUACGUAUCUAUAUUCCAUAUUCACUCUUCAGUGUAUCCUGUAUUCAAUCAUCCCUAUAUUCAUUUCUCCUGAUAUUAUUAUUAUUAGCCUUGGGGAACUUGUUUUAUAGGCUAUUUAGUUUGAAUUAAGCAUGUAUGUCAGUCAUUUCUUGCUUCUAGAAGAACACAGAUGAUAAAUGAUGAGAUUUAUGCCUAGACUCAGCCUUUGGACUAGUUUUCAUCUUUACCUGCAUCUAAGUAUUAUUAUUACUAUUAAUAAAACAACUGCUAGUUUCUUUCUCA